UUUCCGUCCAAUGUAUUCAGCAAUCUGACCACUUGCAAUUGCUCCAACCAUAGCACCCACAUUGGAUAGAGAGCCAAACACAGAGUACUAAACAUCAAACAUGAAACCUAAAAGUCAGAAACUUAUUGAACAAAUAGUCUUUAAAAAAAAACAGAAGAGUUCAUAAAUGAAGAUGGGACCUUUAUACCUCUGAUACAGUUAAACCAAGAUCCUUAGUAAUGGCAGCUUGAGUUGGUGAGGAAUAACCACACUGAAAACAAAAAGAUAAAUCAAAAAUCAGAACUUUCUCAAUAGUCAAUUGAGCAAAAGCAGAAAAAAUCCACAUUGAUCAAUUUAAGAAAGUUGAGAUUUUUUGUUAUGUUCUUCUUACAGUGAAUCCGAAUUGAAUAGGACCAAGAGCAACAAUCAAAACACAAGCUAAGACAGAAAUUGAGCUGUCUCGAAUAACUUGAGACGAUUCCAACAUACUAGAUUGUCUCGAACCCAUCCGAUACCAACUUCCGGUGUGUAAGAACGGUCGCCGAAGAUCAUUUCUUCCCUCUUCCGUAUCAUCCCUAAAACUCAUCUUUUUAUCGCUAAAUCUACAAAACAAUCGUAAUCUACAGAAAAAGACGAAUCCUUUCUGAGGCAAAAGAAAAGGGUCUGA
rnacentral:lncRNA from 1 species